rnacentral:lncRNA from 1 species
CUUCCCAGCCCCGCCCGCCGCCCCGCGCCGCCACCUGCGGGCCGCCCUCCAGGAUGCCCGCCGGCCACGUCCUAGUCGCCUGGAGCCGCGCCCCGCCUUCCUCGCCCGCGGCUGCCCCUGCACUUUUACCCACGCCGUGGGGCACAGAGAAGUAUCCGGUAAAGACCUGGAUCCGGAAAAGCUGAUCACAUCCCUCCCCGAGCGCUUAUUUACUUCUAGCACUUCUCGGGGUCCUUCCAGAGUCAGUCUAAGAGAAGGAUGGGACCCCCGCGGCCCGGGGCGCUGAUUGUCGUGAACACAGUGGAAGUCCAGGCGUUCUGUUCCUGCAGGGCGGGCUGUCUCCUAGCAAAGCCGCCCUUAGGCUUAAAUGGAGGGAGGAUGGAGCCGGGGACGGGGGGAAGGCUGGAGGGGAUGGAACUGGCUGUUGGACUAAGAUGCCACCAAAGGGUGACAGGCAGGGGGCUGGCGGACAGCAGAGAGGGGAUCAGGAACCGAUCCAGGAAGUAAGAGCUCACAGGCCACUCUAUUAUGCAAAUCACUUGUGGACGGUUUAACAGGGAACAACCCACAUGAUCUCAUUUCCAGUUGAGGCUACUGAGUCUACUUCUUUUCAACCCAGGGGUCAUAGAGGACAUUGGGAGGACUUGAAGAAGACUCAGACCAGAACCAAAGGUGUAAGGAAACUAAACCCUGCAAAACCUGAUUUCUCAUACUGGCAUAGACUUGACUUGAAGAGAUCAUCAAGUGUAUAGUGAAGAUUGGCUCAGGCAAGAAUCAUCCAUGAAUGCUUACUCUAGGGGGCUGUUACUGGCUGGCAGAUAUUUGUCUGGGUUGAUGUGUCUCCCCAUAGAUGGUUUAGACCUGUUAGUAGCAAAAGCGGAAAUAGUAACUAUACAAAGAGGCAGGCAGACAGCAUCUUAACCAGGUGAUCAAAAUUUACAUCACCAAUGAGAGCAGAUGGAUAUCAUGUCCACAUCAGCUAUGCAGUAUUCCUGGGGACAAUGCAUAACCUGAAUCAUGAUAGUGAAACAUCGGACAAACCCAAAAUGAGGAACAUCUAUUAAAAAGAGGAAGGGUCUGUAUUAUUCAAAAAUGUCAAGGUCAUUAAAAUCAAAAGAAAGCUUGGGAAAUGUUCCAGAUUAAAGGGUGCAAAAGAGUCAGGGCAGCUAAAUGCCAUGCCUGAUCCUAGACUGCAUCCUGUGCUAGAGGAGGGGAAAUACAUCACGGACAUUCCAGCUGACAAAAUCAGAAUCCAUGUAAGAGAUUAAAGUAUUGGAUCAAUGUUAAAUGUACUGAUGUUGAUAACUUCCACUGUAAUUAUGUACAAGAAUAUCUAAUUCUUGGGAAAUACACACUAAAGUAUCUUGAAAGGGUAAAGGUCAUAAUGUAUGCAGCUUACCUUCAAAUGAUUCAGGGGAAAAAAAAUCUUGAUAGGAAAAAAUGAUAAAGCCAAGUGGGCAAUAAAGGUAAGGUGCAUAUUAUCAGUGAAUCAGCAUAUAGAGUGUACUUGAACAUUUCUGUAAGUUUGAACUUAUUUCCAAAUAAAAAGAUUUGGAAAAAUCCAUCAAGUUGGGGAAUGAAGUAAGGUGGAAAGAAAGCAGGUAUGAUAUAAAAGGGCAACACAAGGGAUCCUUGUGAAUUUGGAACUGUUAAACAUCUUGAGUAUGGUAGUACAGGUGAUAAAAUUAUCUAGAACUUAAUAUACACACAAAUGAGUACAAGUAAAACUGGGAAAAUCUGAAUAAGAUAGGUAAAUUGUAUCAAUGUCAAUAUCCUAGUUAUGAUAUCAUAUUAAGGUUUUGCAAAUGUUGUCAUUGGGGGAAACUAGGCCAAAUAUAUAUAUGUGUGUGUGUGUGUGUAUUUUUUUUUUCCCAAGACGGAGUUUUGCUCUUGUUGCCCAGCCUGGAGUGCAAUGGCACAAUCUCAGUUCACUGCAACCUCCACCUCCCAGGUUCAGGGAAUUCUCCUGCCUCAGCCUCCUGAGUAGCUGGGAUUACAGGCGUGCACCACCAUGCCUGGCUAAUUUUUGCAUUUUUAGUAGGGAUGGGGUUUCACCAUGUUGGUCAGGCUGGUCUCGAGCUCCUGACCUCAGGUGAUCCACCUGCCCCAGCCUCCCAAAGUGCUGGGAUUACAGGCAUGAGCCACCGCACCUGGCCCAAAUAUAUUAUUUCUUAGAAAUGAAUGUGAAUCUACCAUUAUCUCAAUGCAAUUUUUAAUUACAAAAAAAAUCAUUUUUAAUUACAAAAAAACUGUAUGUAAAUGGGCAUGCCCAUCAGGGAGCAUGCCAGAGCAGAUAUGCUGGAGCUCUCAUAGUGGAUCUAGAAUAGACAUGGUGCUGUUACCAACAGUGAAGGCUUUCAAGAAAAAAAAAAAAUUAGACUAUUUGAAGUAUAACUGACCGAUCAGAUUCCUUCCAGUUCUGUAAUUUAACAAUCCUAGAGCUGGGGGUUCUUUGAGAUCAUCUAGUCCAACCUACUCAUUUUCUGGAAACUGUGGGCAGAAAAGUAGUGUGUGUCCACAGGAGCAUCAAAUUAGCGGUAGACCCGUUAACUACUGCUUGUCUGCCAAAUAUGUUCUACUUUCUUUACACCUUUACCAGCUGUCUGUCACUCCCUAUAUCUAUGAGAUUCAGUUAAGGCUGGUAGAAAAUUUUGAAGUCAUUCAUUCUUUGGAGUCCCUGAUUUGUUCUGUAGUGCCAGAUGACAGGCAUGUGGAUUCUGCCCCUGAGGAGUAGGGACCAGUUUUCCUCUCCUACUCUCAGCUUGGAGGAAGCAGAUGGCAGGCGGGGCCCCAGUGACAGCCCCAGUUCUGGGCCUGACUGAGCUGAUGAACUACUUGGAGCAGCUGCUGACCUGCUGCUGCUGGAAGCCAGUGGAACAGGAACCUGGGAGGGAAGCAGAAUGGAUACAAGAAAGGAAAACAGUAAUUGCCCUGGUAAGUCCUCCCUUCAUCCAGCAUGAGGCAGAAGUAGCUGCAACAGAGGCAACUGGCUUCCCUUGAGCCACAGAUAGCCACUGUAUUCUUUCCUUUUGUUGAAUCAAAUCGAAAUUAAUCUAUGUUUACUUGCAUUUGCCAGGCCCUCGUUAGUAACUGUGGGAAAAUACAAAAUAGAAUAUCUGAUCCCUACCCAUUAGGAACCCAGAAUGCAUCCAGGGACCCAAGGUGGAAAUGUUGAAAGUGACCCAACAAAAGCAAUUAAAAGGCUAGCUAUAUUAGCUGGGGUUCCCCCCAAAAGCAACAUUGGAGAAGGACUCAUGGGCAGAUACUUUCUUCUGGAAAAUGAUCCCGUAGGAUAUGGGUAGAAAAAGAAAUUGGGACCAGAAAGAAUGAAACAGGAAAGAAAGAAAGCCUAUUGAAGGAUAUAAAAUUUCUGUAAACAACUGGAGCUUAGUCCCACUGAGGCCCCCUGAGGAACUGCGCAGAAUGUAAGACAGAGGAGGAAAUAUUUAGCCACCAGUUCCUAUCUCCCAUUGGCCAACUUGAUGCUGAGUUCAGGAGUGGUGGCUCACACCUGUAAUCUCAGCAUUUUGGGAGGCCAAGGUGGGUGGAUCACUUGAGCCUCAGAGUUCAAGGCCAGCCUAAGCAACAUAGCAAGACCCCAUCUCUACAAAAGAAAAAUUUAAAAAUUGGCUAUGGAAGUAUGAAGGUAUAUGCCUGUAGUUCCAGUUACUCAAGAGGCUGAAGCAGGAGGAUUGCAUGAACCCCUGAACUCAAGACUGCAGUGAACUAUAACUGAACGAUGGCACUGCAGCCUGAGCAACAGAGCAAAACUCUUGUCUCAAAAAAAAAAAAAAAAGUAGAUGCUGAGCAAAAAAAGCUAACUAAGAUACAACAUGGGACAUAUAUAAAAGAUGCCUGACACCAGCUUUAUUCAUUGCUGCAGUCCCAGCACCAACAACAGUGCCUGACUCAUAGAUGCCCCGUCAAUAGAUACAGAAAGAAUGUCUGGGUGCGGUGGCUCAUGCCUGUAAUCCCAGCAUUUUGGGAGGCCAAGGCAGGCAGAUCACUUGAGGAGGAUCACUUCAACUUCUGUUGAAGACCAGCCUGGCCAACAGGGUGAAACCCCGUUUCUACUAAAAAUACAAAAUUAGCUGGCAUGGUGGUGCAUGUCUGUAAUCCCAGCUACUUGGGAGGCUGAGGCAGGAGAAUCAUUUGAACCCAGGAGGCAGAGGUUGCAGUGAGCAGAGAUCAUGCAGUUGCACUCCAGCCUGGGCGACAGAACGAGACUCUGUCUCAGAAAAAAAAGAAAAACAAAAAGAAAAAAAAAAAAGGGCGGGACGAGGUGGCUCACACCUGUAAUCCUAGCACUGUGGGAGUCCGAGUCGGGCAGAUCACCUAAGGUCCGGAGUUCCAGACCGACCUGGUUAACAUGGUGAAACCCCGUCUCUACUAAAAAUACAAAACAAAUUAGCUGGGAGUGGUGGCACAUGCCUGUAGUUCCAGCUACUCGGGAGGCCAAGGCAGGAAAAGCUCUUGAACCAGGGAGACGGAGGUUGCAAUGAGUCAAGAUCGCACCACUGCACUCCAGCCUGGGCGACAGAGCGAGACUCCAUCUCAAAAAAAAAAAAAAGAAUGAAUGAAAUACUGUAAAAAGUAGAUCCAUAAGUCAUAUAUUGACAGUUUUGCGUGUGUGUCUAUUUUUUUUGGUUUUUGUUUUUAUUUUUUUUAGAGACGAGGUCUUGCUGUGUUGCUCAGGCUGGUCUCCAACUCCUGAGCUCAAGCAAUUCUCCCACCUGAGAUUCCCAAAGCGCUGGGAUUACAGGAGUGCACCGCCAUGCCCAGCCUGUGUCUGUUGGACUAGGCUAGGGUGAUAGAGUAGUGGGUAAAACAGAUGCAUUCCUCAGCCUGGGCAAAAUAGGGAGGCCCUGUCUCUACAAAAAAAUCAAAAAACUAGUCAGGGAUAGUGACAUGUGCCUGUGGUCCCAGCUACUUUGGAGCCUGAGGUGGGAGGACUGCUUGAUCCCAGGAGGUCUAGGCUGCAGUGAGCCAUGAUUGUGCCACUGCAUUCCAGCCUGGGUGACAGAAGGAUACCCAGUGUCAAAAAAGAAAAAAAAAACGGGUAUAUUCCUAGCCCUAAUGGACCUUUCUGUCCAGGAGAGGAGUCAGAUAAUGUGAUACACAUAUACAUAUUUAAUUAGUUUGUGAAGGCCAGGCAUGGUGGCUCACGCCUGUAAUCCCAGCACUUUGGGAGGCCAAGGCAGGCAGAUCACUUGAGGUCAGGAGUUUGAGAUCAGCCUGACCAACAUGGUGAAACCCCUGUCUCUACUAAAAAUACAAAAAUUAGCCAGGCGUGGUGGUGUGCGUCUGUAAUCCCAGCUACUCGGGAGGCUGAGGUGAGAGGAUCAUUUGAACCCGGGAGGUAGAGAUUGCAUUGAGCCAAGAUCGCACCACUGCACUUCAGCCUGGGUGGCAGAGUGAGACUCUGUCUCAAAAAAACAAACAAAAAAAAAAUAGUUUGUGAAAAGUGCUAUGAAGAAAAAGAUGCAGGUGCUGUAAGUAGGAUAAGAAGGGGGUUUAUGAUAAAUCAGUUGGUUGAGGAAGAUCUAAGGCGCUAACACUUAAGCUGAGACCCAAAGGAGGAACAGGAACCAACCAUGCAAAGUGGAGGGGCAAGAUCAGACCCAGAAGUGGGAAAGGCCCUCGAUGGCUGGAGCCAUGGUGGGGUUUCAGGGAAAAGCCAGGCAAUGAGACUUCAUGGUUCUGGUAAGGAGUAAAGAGUUUUAGGUAAGACUGACAUGGUCACAUUCACUUUCUAAAAACCUCCUUCUAGCCGCUGUGUGGAGGAUGAACUCAAGUGGAUAAUCAAAAACCUCCACACUGCUGGCUGUGGAGGGUGUGAAUACCAGACCACAUCAAGACCAGCACAGAAGGGUCAGCUGCCACAGCAUCUCCUCUACCACCACUACUGCCACCAGUAAUUCUUCAGGAAUAUGCUAAAACCCACUGUAACAUAAAUGGGUUCAAAAAUGGCAAUUGGUAGACUAUCGGGUUCCAUAGCUGAAGGUUAAUUAAAACCAAUAUUUCUAGGCCGGGUGCGGUGGCUCACGCCUGUAAUCCCAGCACUUUGGGAGGCCGAGGCGGGCGGAUCACGAGGUCAGGAGAUCCAGACCAUCCUGGCUAACACGGUGAAACCUGUCUCUACCAAAAAUACAAAAAAUUAGCCAGGCGUGGUGGCGGGCACCUGUAGUCCCAGCUACUCGGGAGGCUGAGGCAGGAGAAUGGCGUGAACACGGGAGGCGGAGCUUGCAGUGAGCCAAGAUCGUGCCACUGCACUCCAGCCUGGGCGACAGAGUGAGACUCCUUCUCAAAAACCAAACCAAACCAAACAAAACAAACAAAAUCAAUAUUUCUAGCCUGGGCAACAUAGGGUGACCUUGUCUCUACAAUUUUUUUUAAUUGGCUAGGUGUGGUGGUGCAUGCCUGUGGUCCCAGCUACUCAGGAGGCUGAGGUGGGAGGAUUGCUUGAGCAUGGGAAGUAGAGGCUUCAGUGAGCCAUGAUUGCACCACUACAUUCCAGCCUGGGCGACAGAGCAAGACCCUGUCUAAAAGAAAAAAAAAAAAACUCUCAGACAAUCUUACAAUUAGUGUGUGAGGGAAAGGGGAAAAAUGUUUUCUAUUAUUACAUGUGUAGGAAAUGGAACAAUUACAACAAACAAAGUAUCAGCUUGAAUUGAACUGAGAGCACCCCACAUGAUUGUGGGGUAUUCAUCUAUAAUCACCCCAAACACAUACAUACUCUAAGAAAAGAGCUUGAACCUGUCACCAUUUCAGAAGGAGAGCAGAGUCCAAUUAUGUUUCAUCCACAUGCACAUUAUCCUGAAAUCUCUUUUUUUUUUUUUUUUUUUUGAGACAGGGUCUUGCUCUAUUGCCCAGGCUAGAGUGCAGUGGUACGAUCUCAGUUCACUGCAACCUCCACCUCCCGGGUUCAAGCAAUUCUCCUGCCUCAGCCUCCCGAGUAGCUUGGAUUACAGGCACAUGCCACCGUGCCCGGCUAAUUUUUGUAUUUUUAGUAGCGAUGGGGGUCUCACCAUGUUGGCCAGGCUGGUCUCGAACUCCUGGCCUCAAGUGAUCCGCCCACCUCAGCCUCCCAAAGUGCUGGGAUUACAGGCAUGAGCCACAACAUUCGGCUCCCCCUUUUUUUUUUCUUAGAGACGGUGUCUCGCUCACUGCGCUGCCACCCCCCUUUUUUUUUUCUUAGAGAUGGUGUCUUGCUCUGGCACCCAGGCUGGAGUACAGUGGUGCUAUGAUCACUCACUGCAGCCUCAAACUCCUGGGCUCAAGCGAUCUUACUGCCUCAUCCUCCCAGGUAGCUGAGACUACAGGUGCAUGCCACCAAGCCCAGUUAAUUUUUUUUGAGGGGGGGUAGAGAUUAGGGGGCACAUGUCUCACUAUGUUGCACAGGCUGGUUUUGAACUUCUGGCCUCGUGAUCCUCUACCUUUGCCUCCCAAAGUGCUGGGAUUAUAGCUAGGAGCCACCGUGCCCAGCCAUCAUAGAAUAUUUUAUGCCAGAUUUUAAUCUCACAUUUAUUGAGCACAGUUUGCACCAAGCACUGUGCUAAGUAGCACUGCACUAAGUGCUUUAUUUUUUUAAUUUUUAUUUUAUUUAUUUAUUUAUUUUUGAGACAGAGUCUUAUUCUAUCACCCAGGCCAGAGUGCAGUGGCAAGAUCUCAGCUUACUGCAACCUCGGCCUCCAGGGUUCAAGCAAUCCUCUUGCCUCAGCCUCCUGAGUAGCUGGGACUACAGGCGUGUGUGCGCCACCAUGCCCAGCUAAUUUUUGUAUUUUUAGUAGAAAUGGAGUUUUGCCAUGUUUGCCAGGCUGGUCUCGAGCUCUUGACCUCAGGUGAUACUCUUGCCUUGGCCUCCAAAGUGCUAGGAUUACAGGUGUGAGCCACUGCACCCAGCCAUGUGCUAAGUGCUUUAGUAACAUCAGUUCCUUCAUUCUGACAGCAACUCUAUGAGACAGCUAUUAUCUGCAGUUUAUAGAUAAGGAAACUGACCCUUGGAUAAGUGAAUUAACGUAUACAGUCAUAAACUAUUGAAAAAGUCAGGCUGCUAGCCCCAUAUGACUGAUUAAACACUUUGCUUUUGUCUCUGCGAAGUAAAAGAGAGUCAACCUCAGUCUUGGGUAAUGGGAAGAAUGAAGAGGAGAGGAAUGGCACGGGAAAAGAAUUCUAGGAUUAAGACAUGAGGGGCUGGGCAUGGUGGCUCAAGCCUGUAAUCCCACCACUUUGGGAGGCUGUGGCAGGUGGAUUGCUUGAGCUCAGGAGUUCGAGACCAGCCUGGGCAACA